rnacentral:rRNA from 1 species
GCUAAAAAUCUAACCCUAAAACAAUGUAUAAAUACCCAUCACCUCUAUUUAUAAACUAAAACAUUUAUAAAAUUUAGUAAAGGCGAUUGAAAUAUAUUAUCGGAGUUAUAUAAACAGUACCGCAAGGAAAUGAUGAAAUAAAAAUGAAAUAAUUAUUAUGCACAAAAUAGUAGAGAUACAACCUCGUACCUUUUGCAUCAUGAUUUAACUAGUUUAAUCAAGCAAAAUGAAUUUCAGUUUGUUCCCCCGAAACUAAACGAGCUACUUCAGGGCAGCUUUAUGAGCCAACCCAUCUCUGUUGCAAAAGAGUGGGAUGACCUUCAAGUAGAAGUGAUAGACCUAACGAGUUUAGUGAUAGCUGGUUACUUAAGAAAUGGAUAUUAGUCCCGCCUAAAAUUUUCUUAAUUAAUAAAAAUAACAACAAAAUUUUAGAGUAAUUCAAAUAAGGUACAGCCUAUUUGAAACAGGAUACAACCUAAAUAAAUGGGUAAUUAAAUAAUUUUUUAAUAAAGUAGGCCUAAAAGCAGCCAUCUUCUAAAAAGCGUCAAAGCUUAGUUUUAAUUUAACUUAAUCUUAUUAAUUAUGAAAAACCCUUAAUCUAUAUUAAGUAAUUCUAUAUUAUUAUAGAACAUAUUAUGUUAAAAUUAGUAACAAGAAUCAAAAUUUCUCUCAAAUGCAAGUGUAAAUCAGAUCGGAUACACCACUGAUUAUUAACAUUCUUGAACCUAAAGUAAUAACUAAUCAAGAAAAUUUUACUUAAUUACAUGUUAACCUAACACAAGAGCAUUACAAGACAGAUUUAAAGAAAAAGAAGGAACUCGGCAAAUAUUAACCUCGCCUGUUUACCAAAAACAUCGCCUCUUGAUUGUAUAUAAGAGGUCCAGCCUGCCCAGUGACUUUGUUCAACGGCCGCGGUAUCCUAACCGUGCGAAGGUAGCGUAAUCACUUGUUCUUUAAAUAAGGACUAGUAUGAAUGGCAUCACGAAGGUUAUACUGUCUCCCUUUUCUAAUCAGUGAAAUUAAUCUUUCCGUGAAGAAGCGGGAAUAUAUAUAUAAGACGAGAAGACCCUAUGGAGCUUUAAACUCUCAGCAACUAUUUUUAUAUCUAAAUCUUAAAAAAAUAAAAUUCAUCUUGAUAGCAUGACUGUUAGUUUUUGGUUGGGGUGACCACGGAGUACAAUUUAACCUCCAUGAUGAAUUAGAACAUGUUUCUAAGCAAAGAACUACAAUUCAAAGUAUCAAAAAAUUGACACAUUGACCCAAUAAUUUGAUCAACGAACCAAGUUACCCUAGGGAUAACAGCGCAAUCCAUCUUAAGAGUCCAUAUCGCCAGAUGGGUUUACGACCUCGAUGUUGGAUCAGGGUAUCCCAGUGGUGUAGCCGCUACUAAAGGUUUGUUUGUUCAACAAUUAAAACCCU